rnacentral:rRNA from 1 species
UACGUAGGGGGCAAGCGUUGUCCGGAAUCAUUGGGCGUAAAGAGCUCGUAGGCGGUUUGUCGCGUCUGCUGUGAAAACCUAAGGCUCAACCUUGGGCUUGCAGUGGGUACGGGCAGACUAGAGUGCGGUAGGGGUGACUGGAAUUCCUGGUGUAGCGGUGGAAUGCGCAGAUAUCAGGAGGAACACCGAUGGCGAAGGCAGGUCACUGGGCCGCAACUGACGCUGAGGAGCGAAAGCAUGGGGAGCGAACAGG